GAGGUCUAUAACAUUCAUUGAGUGUGAGGUCUAUAACAUUCAUUGAGUGUGAGGUUAUAGACCUCACACUCAAUGAAUGUUAUAGACA
rnacentral:pre_miRNA from 1 species